rnacentral:rRNA from 1 species
UACGAAGGGGGCUAGCGUUGCUCGGAAUCACUGGGCGUAAAGGGUGCGUAGGCGGGUUUUUAAGUCAGGGGUGAAAGCCCAGAGCUCAACUCUGGAACUGCCUUUGAAACUAGAGGACUUGGGUACGGGAGAGGUGAGUGGAAUUCCGAGUGUAGAGGUGAAAUUCGUAGAUAUUCGGAAGAACACCAGUGGCGAAGGCGGCUCACUGGCCCGUUACCGACGCUCAGGCGCGACAGCGUGGGGAGCAAACAGG